rnacentral:rRNA from 1 species
AGAGUUUGAUCAUGGCUCAGAUUGAACGCUGGCGGAAUGCUUUACACAUGCAAGUCGAACGGCAGCACGGGUGCUUGCACCUGGUGGCGAGUGGCGAACGGGUGAGUAAUGCACCGGAACGUAUCCAAUAAUGGGGAUAACGCACCGAAAGGUGUGCUAAUACCGCAUACGCCCUGAGGGGGAAAGCGGGGAUCGUAAGACCUCGCGUUAAUGGAGCGGCCGAUGCCGGAUUAGCUAGUUGGUGAGGUAAAGGCUCACCAAGGCGACGAUCCGUAGCUGGUCUGAGAGGACGACCAGCCACACUGGAACUGAGACACGGUCCAGACUCCUACGGGAGGCAGCAGUGGGGAAUUUUGGACAAUGGGCGCAAGCCUGAUCCAGCCAUUCCGCGUGAGUGAAGAAGGCCUUCGGGUUGUAAAGCUCUUUCGCAAGGAAAGAAAACUUAUCUCCUAAUACGAGGUGAGGUUGACGGUACCUUGAUAAGAAGCACCGGCUAACUACGUG